rnacentral:rRNA from 1 species
CCUACGGGUGGCAGCAGUGAGGAAUAUUGGUCAAUGGACGAGAGUCUGAACCAGCCAAGUAGCGUGAAGGAUGACUGCCCUAUGGGUUGUAAACUUCUUUUAUAUGGGAAUAAAAUGUUCCACGUGUGGGAUUUUGUAUGUACCAUAUGAAUAAGGAUCGGCUAACUCCGUGCCAGCAGCCGCGGUAAUACGGAGGAUCCGGGCGUUAUCCGGAUUUAUUGGGUUUAAAGGGAGCGUAGGUGGAUUGUUAAGUCAGUUGUGAAAGUUUGCGGCGCAACCGUAAAAUUGCAGUUGAAACUGGCAGUCUGGAGUACAGUAGAGGUGGGCGGAAUUCGUGGUGUAGCGGUGAAAUGCUUAGAUAUCACGAAGAACUCCGAUUGCGAAGGCAGCUCACUGGACUGCAACUGACACUGAGGCUCGAAAGUGUGGGUAUCAAACAGGAUUAGAUACCCCUGUAGUC